rnacentral:rRNA from 1 species
ACUUGCUUUCUUUGCCGGCGACCGGCGCACGGGUGAGUAACACGUAUCCAACCUGCCCUUUACUCGGGGAUAGCCUUUCGAAAGAAAGAUUAAUACCCGAUGGCAUAGUUCUUCCGCAUGGUAGAACUAUUAAAGAAUUUCGGUCAUCGAUGGGGAUGCGUUCCAUUAGGUUGUUGGCGGGGUAACGGCCCACCAAGCCUUCGAUGGAUAGGGGGUUCUGAGAGGAAGGUCCCCCACAUUGGAACUGAGACACGGUCCAAACUCCUACGGGAGGCAGCAUG